rnacentral:rRNA from 1 species
UAUACGACUCUCGGCAAUGGAUAUCUCGGCUCUCGCAUCGAUGAAGAGCGCAGCGAAAUGCGAUACGUGGUGUGAAUUGCAGAAUCCCGCGAACCAUCGAGUCUUUGAACGCAAGUUGCGCCCGAGGCCAAUCGGUUGAGGGCACGUCUGCCUGGGCGUCAAGC